GUUUGAUCCUGGCUCAGAACGAACGCUGGCGGCACGCCUAACACAUGCAAGUCGAGCGCUACCUUCGGGNGGAGCGGCGGACGGGUUAGUAACGCGUGGGAACAUACCCUUUUCUAUGGAAUAGCCUCGGGAAACUGAGAGUAAUACCAUAUACGCCCUUCGGGGGANNGAUUUAUCGGUGAAGGAUUGGCCCGCGUUAGAUUAGAUAGUUGGUGGGGUAAUGGCCUACCAAGUCUACGAUCUAUAGCUGGUUUGAGAGGAUGAUCAGCAACACUGGGACUGAGACACGGCCCAGACUCCUACGGGAGGCAGCAGUGGGGAAUCUUAGACAAUGGGCGCAAGCCUGAUCUAGCGAUGCCGCGUGAGUGACGAAGGCCUUAGGGUCGUAAAGCUCUUUCGCCAGGGAUGAUAAUGACAGUACCUGGUAAAGAAACCCCGGCUAACUCCGUGCCAGCAGCCGCGGUAAUAAGG
rnacentral:rRNA from 1 species